rnacentral:misc_RNA from 1 species
AACGCACAUUGCGCCCGCCAGUAUUCUGGCGGGCAUGCCUGUUCGAGCGUCAUUUCAACCAUCAAGCCCCCGGGCUUGUGUUGGGGACCUGCGGCUGCCGCAGGCCCCGAAAAGCAGUGGCGGGCUCGCUGUCACACCGAGCGUAGUAGCAUACAUCUCGCUCUGGGCGUGCUGCGGGUUCCGGCCGUUAAACCACCUUUUAACCCAAGGUUGACCUCGGAUCAGGUAGGAAGACCCGCUGAACUUAA